rnacentral:tRNA from 1 species
AGGGUUCUGUGGUGUACGGCACGUGGGAUUGCAAAUCCUGAAGAGUAGAUGAGGCUACCGGGGCUU